rnacentral:rRNA from 1 species
GACGAACGCUGGCGGCGUGCUUAACACAUGCAAGUCGAACGGAAAGGCCUCUUUCGGGGGGUACUCGAGUGGCGAACGGGUGAGUAACACGUGAGUAACCUGCCCUUGACUUUGGGAUAACUUCAGGAAACUGGGGCUAAUACCGGAUAGGAGCUCCUGCUGCAUGGUGGGGGUUGGAAAGUUUCGGCGGUUGGGGAUGGACUCGCGGCUUAUCAGCUUGUUGGUGGGGGAGUGGCUUACCAAGGCUUUGACGGGUAGCCGGCCUGGGAGGGUGACCGGCCACAUUGGGACUGGGAUACGGCCCCGACUCCUACGGGAGGCAGCAGUGGGGAAUAUUGCACAAUGGGUGGAAGCCUGAUGCAGCAACGCCGUGUGCGGGAUGACGGCCUUCGGGUUGUAAACCGCUUUCGCUCAUGACGAAGCUUUGUGUGACGGUAGUGGGUAAAGAAGCACCGGCUAACUACGUG